rnacentral:rRNA from 1 species
UGCCACAGCCAUAUCACCCUGCAGCCCAAGACCGGUUACUCACUGAAGCUAAGCAGGGCUGAACCUGGUUAGUACCUGGAUGGGAGACCACUAGGGAACACUAGGUUGCUGUUGGAA